rnacentral:rRNA from 1 species
GACGAACGCUGGCGGCGUGCUUAACACAUGCAAGUAGAACGAGUGGCGAACGGGUGAGUAAUAGGUGGGUAAACGGCACUAUUUUUGGGAUACACCUUGGAAAAGGGGUCUAAUACCGAAUAAAGGGGGAUGUGCUAGCGGCCUCUCAUCUGUUUGGUGGGGUGAUGGCCUGCCAAGGCGGUGACGGGUGGCCGUCCUGCUAGGGGGACCGGCAACAUUGUGACUGAGAUACGUCCCAGACUCCUACGUGAGGCAGCAGUGGGGGCUAUUGCACAAUGGGCGAAAGCCUGAUGCAGCGACGCCGCGUGGGGGAUGAAGGCUUUCGGGUUGUAAACCUCGUUCGCUAGCGAACGGGUAGGUGGAGAAGAAGCGCCGGCUAACUACGUGCCAGCAGCCGCGGUAAUUC